rnacentral:rRNA from 1 species
GACCAAGGAGUCUAACAUGUGCGCGAGUCGUAGGGUUACGCUCAAAGCCCGAAGGCGCAAUGAAAGUGAAGGUCGGCCUCGAUUGCCGUUACCUAGGCGGGAUCCGUUCGGGCUUACCGGUCGUUCGCGGCUGAGCCCGGCGGCGCACCGCCGGCCCGUCUCGACCGCAUCGCCGGUGAGGCGGAGCGAGAGCGUACACGUUGGGACCCGAAAGAUGGUGAACUAUGCCCGGGCAGGACGAAGCCAGAGGAAACUCUGGUGGAGGUCCGUAGCGAUUCUGACGUGCAAAUCGAUCGUCGGACCUGGGUAUAGGGGCGAAAGACUAAUCGAACCAUCUAGUAUGUGGUUCCU